UCCCCAACCACCGGCGCUGGGCGGAAGCGGCCUUAGUGAGCCUGCACAGGGCGGCAUGCGCGAGAGUGGGGGCGCCCUCCCACUCUGUGGUUCAAGCCAGAAGCUUGGAGCCCUGCUGCUGUGUGAGAAGUAGACUCUGGGGACAGGAAUCCAUCCCUGCCAGUGUCACCUACAACCUGGCUCCUCAGCCUGAGACCAAGACCACUGUCCUGUAUCUGCUGAGGCCAAGCAGCCCAGAGACGGAGCAGAGUGGCAGGUGAUGGAGCCCGAGGCACCAGACUGUAAAUUUCAUGAUGUGGUGCCCAGUCCGUGGAGUACUUGUUAAAUGAAUGGAUGAACAAACAGCCUCCCACAAAAGCUUAGCAGUGACACCGGGCGGAAGGAAGGGUGCACUGGGCCCCAGGGACCUGCUCACCACUCUCACCCCUGUGGGGAGGGGCAGAAGGCCUCAGUCAGCCGUUCCCUCCUGGGAGUCUCUGUCAGGACCUGAAUUCAAGACAGCUGGGACUACGAUUUUCAGCCCUCUUGAGUACUCGCCCACCUGGUAGCUCCGCUUCGUCCCCAACCGUCCCGGUAACAAGGGAUCCUGAAAUGUGCCUUCUGCCGCUGCCACCCGUGAGCCUGAGAGAGCUUGGAGCUGAGACUUCAGACUGUUACACAGCACAUCAUUCACUUUGUACGAAGUUCAAGAAUAGGCACAACUCACGCGCUGUCAGAAAUCCCAGCAGUAACCACCUCCUGGCUGGGGAGGGCAUUGCCUGGAGGGGAGCCAGGAGGGGUCUGUCCAUGGUGCUGAAACGCCCCAGGGCUGAACUUUCCAACUGGUAUCUUUGAGCCACGUUGUACGUAUUGAAAUCUG